CCUACGGGUGGUAGCAGUGGGGAAUAUUGCACAAUGGGGGAAACCCUGAUGCAGCGACGCCGCGUGAGUGUAGAAGUAUUUCGGUAUGUAACGCUCUAUCAGCAGGGAAGUAAAUGACGUUACCUGAUUAUGAAGCCCCGGCUAACUACGUGCCAGCAGCCGCGGUAAUACGGAGGGGGCAAGCGUUAUCCGGAUUUACUGGGUGGAAAGGGGGCGUAGGCGGCAGAACAAGUCUGGAGUGAAAUGCCGGGGCUUAACCCCGGAACUGCAUUGGAAACUGUGCAGCUAGAGUGCAGGAGAGGUAAGUGGAAUUCCUAGUGUAGCGGUGAAAUGCGUAGAUAUUAAGAGGAACACCAGUGGCGAAGGCGACUUACUGGACUGUAACUGACGUUGAGGCUCGAAAGCGUGGGGAGCAAACAGGAUUAGAUACCCCAGUAGUC
rnacentral:rRNA from 1 species